GAUGAACGCUGGCGGCGUGCCUAAUACAUGCAAGUCGAGCGAACAGAUGAGGAGCUUGCUCCUCUGACGUUAGCGGCGGACGGGUGAGUAACACGUGGAUAACCUACCUAUAAGACUGGGAUAACUUCGGGAAACCGGAGCUAAUACCGGAUAAUAUAUUGAACCGCAUGGUUCAAUAGUGAAAGACGGUUUUGCUGUCACUUAUAGAUGGAUCCGCGCCGCAUUAGCUAGUUGGUAAGGUAACGGCUUACCAAGGCAACGAUGCGUAGCCGACCUGAGAGGGUGAUCGGCCACACGGGAACUGAGACACGGUCCAGACUCCUACGGGAGGCAGCAGUAGGGAAUCUUCCGCAAUGGGCGAAAGCCUGACGGAGCAACGCCGCGUGAGUGAUGAAGGUCUUCGGAUCGUAAAACUCUGUUAUUAGGGAAGAACAAAUGUGUAAGUAACUAUGCACGUCUUGACGGAACCUAAGCAGAAAGCCACGGCUAACUACGU
rnacentral:rRNA from 1 species